rnacentral:rRNA from 1 species
UUAUGGCUCAGGAUGAACGCUGGCGGCGUGCCUAAUACGAUGCAAGUCGAACGAGGUAGCAAGUACCGAGUGGCGAACGGGUGAGUAACACGUAGGUAACCUGCCUUAAGCUUGGGAUACCCAGAGGAAACUUUGGCUAAUACCGGAUAACAACAGAGAAGGCAUCUCUUUGCUUGAAAGGCCCCUUCAAGGGUCACUUAAGGAUGGACCUGCGGCGCAUUAGCUAGUUGGUGGGCAACGGCCCACCAAGGCGAGGAUGUGUAGCCGACCUGAGAGGGUGAACGGCCACAAUGGAACUGAGACACGGUCCAUACUCCUACGGGAGGCAGCAGUAGGGAGUUUUCGGCAAUGGGCGAAAGCCUGACCGAGCAACGCCGCGUUGAGUGAGAAGGUCUUCGGAUUGUAAAGCUCUGUUACGAGGGACGAACGGUGGGGUCAGGAAAUGGGCCCCAAUUGACGGUACCCCGCCAGAAAGUGACGGCUAACUACGUGCCAGCAGCCGC